GGAUGUGAGGGCGAUCUGGCUGCAACAUCUGUCACCCCAUUGAUCGCCAAGGUUGAUUCCGCUGAUCUGGCUGGCUAGGCGGGUGUCCCCUUUCUCCCUCACCGCUCCGUGUACUACCCUCCCGAACCUGCGCGCUUGGUGGAAGAGGAUGCUUUUCCCCAAUAGAGACAGACCGGUCUUUGGUCGAGGGUAUGGGAGUAGCUGCACUCCCUUGCUAGAACCUCCAAACAAGCUGUCAAUAGUGCUUCACUUUUUAGAAUCUUUUGCUUUUUGACUUUUAAAAGCUGGUUUAAAAGACAAGGAGAUAUAUAUAUUUGCUUGGUUCCCGCAUUAACUGAACUGAAU
rfam:Erinaceus europaeus unplaced genomic scaffold scaffold00740, whole genome shotgun sequence